rnacentral:rRNA from 12 species
UCCGACCUGCACGAAUGGUGUAACGAUCUGGACACUGUCUCAGCCAUGAGCUCGGUGAAAUUGUAGUAUCGGUGAAGAUGCCGAUUACCCGCAGUGGGACGAAAAGACCCCGUGAACCUUUACUAUAGCUUAGUAUUGGCUUUGGAUAAGUAAUGUGUAGGAUAGGUGGGAGACUUUGAAGUGGCGUCGCUAGGCGUUGUGGAGUCAUUGUUGAAAUACCACCCUUUGCUUAUCUAGAGUCUAACCUCUAACCAGGGACAGUGCUUGGUGGGUAGUUUGACUGGGGUGGUCGCCUCCAAAAGAGUAACGGAGGCUUCUAAAGGUUCCCUCAGCACGGUUGGUAAUCGUGCGUAGAGUGCAAUGGCAUAAGGGAGCUUGACUGAGAGACAUACAGGUCGAUCAGGUACGAAAGUAGAGCAUAGUGAUCCGGUGGUUCCGUAUGGAAGGGCCAUCGCUCAAAGGAUAAAAGGUACUCCGGGGAUAA